GAUGGAAAAAACUCUGUUAUAGUCCUAGCCUUCACAACCUCCUUAGACUGAAUUCCUGGAGUGGGCUUUAUUUGGAUCUACCCUUGACAGUCAUCAGAGAGAACAGAAUGCAAUGGUUCAGUCUCAGAGAGAACACUUUCACUGCAGAUUUGACAAAUGCAAAGAAGGUA